UGGUCGGGAUAGCUCAGCUGGUAGAGCAGAGGACUKAAAAUCCUCGUGUCACC
rnacentral:tRNA from 1 species